GAGGGAAGCGGGGAACUCCCGGCCGGUCCCCAGGGCGGGGUCGCCGAGUGCCCCCUGCGGCUCCGCCACGCCCGCCCGACUGCAGCGCGGCUAACUGUCGGAGUUGGAAAUCGGACUUAGCGCCUACGCACACUGCACCUAGACGAGCGCCAGCUGCACUCGGGAACCGGCACCCCGUCUCCCGACUCCAGCCCGAACCCCACUCCUGCACUCACCGCCGCCUCCAGGCCUGCUGUUUCAGCUUCCAGUCCCAAGCCGCCGGUCUCCUUCCCACACCUUUAAGAUCUGCCCCGCAGCUGCCUCCCUACCUUCCUCCCGCCAGCAAAGCCGGUGCCCUCGGCCAAGUGCCCGUUCGCAGCCUGUUAUCAAGUCCUAGAGAGAAUUUCUCCGAAAUAUUUCCCGAAUCCUGCGGCCAAGAGCCCGAGUUCCCGCCCCUCCACCUUCCGUCUGGAUGCCUGCAGACUUCUCCCUGGAUUUCUAGUCUUUAGCCUCUUCCCCUUCCUAAUCUAUUUUCAACACCAAUUUCCCCCAAGCGCGUGUUAAAGCACACAGGGACCUCGGUGAUUGUAAACCUCAUAUUUCCCCUGUUACUCAGGUUAAGCAUGCUUGGACUGGGGAAUAAAAACUGAGGGCUUCGGCUCACGUUUAUUGAGCAAGACUUCUAUACACGUCAUUGUUAAACACUUCAGGUGGAUAUUCUCAUUCAACUGCCAACAAUCCUUCCGGUGCUCUUCUGCAGAAACCUUGACCUUCCCAACAGUGAUGGAAUGACCCACAGUACCAGCUGUAUCCUGGGGGCCAGGUGGCAGCAAACGAUCUGUUAACAGCAAUACUAAAUGGAUGGGGCAGGUGGAUGUCAGGUAAGGUUUGAUCUGGAAUGCCUCAGAGGCCCCAUUGCUCUUCCACCAGCCUUUAGUGGAUUAGUGGUCUGAAUUUCUGGGCCUGGACAAGUUAGAACCAUCUCCACAUUUAUCUCCCCCUCCUGUGCUCACCUGACAGCUUUCUCUAUUAUCCUCAGUCAGCUCCUCUUGCUUGGGAGCAUCCUGGAGACACCACAGGUGUCCUACCCACAGGGAGGACUAGCGACAUAUUCCUUAUUCUCCCACAAACACAGGCAUCACUAGUGUCCUCUCAUCCCCAGCCCCUGCCAAGCAUCAGCCUGUGGCCACUUCCUUUGCAUGUAAAUGAGGCCAUGUCUGGGCUGCCUUUGUCCUGGGUGGGGGUUGGAUUUUCAUCACUAAUUAGUGGCUGGGAAAUCAGGAGUCAGCAGUAGUCCCCUUUCCAGGACCCACCCUGCCCCCAUUUCCUGCCUGGGAAUUAGGGUGAUUCCUCCCCACCCAUCCUUCCAUGACCUGGGUAAGAUGGGCAGAGGCUCCCGGUCAACAGUGAACAGGGACUAUGUGAUUAGCAUUUGCCCUAGUGAAUCCCUGUGUUUUAAUUCUGUGACCUUAUCUGUUAUGUAAUGCUUAUCCUGUCUUUUCCUUCCUGGAAUACAUACCCUAUCAGCAGCUUUAUUGCUUUUUUUUAUAGAGUUUUUAAUUAAUUUGGGGGUAUACAUCCAUAAAAUGAAAUUCAAACGAUACAAAAAAGCAUACAGUUUCCCUCCUUCUCAACCAGGGGCAAGCUUUUCCAUCCCUGUUAGCAGCUUCCUGUAUGUCUUUUUCAGAAAUAGUCCACACAUGUGUAAACACGUGUCAUUUCUUUUAACUGCAUUUUUGAUGUCUUUUGUAUUAACACCUAAAAAGUAUACUAAUUGAUGCUUUGAAAAAAAAAUCAGCACAGUUUCAGAAUGGAGCCCUGAGAUUCUCAGCUUGGAGCUUGUAUCCUGUGGCCUAAGCUCUAUUCUCAAAUGGGGCUGCAGCAGGAAUGAGGAGGCGUCCACCUCCAAUAGAGGCUGAAAGGUUUUCCCAGUCUCCUCUGGGGCCAGAACAAAAAAUACAGCAGGCUGUGCAACAUACAAGGUUUGGAAAGACUUAAUCAUGAUAGGAGGGUUUGCUGGGUGCUGGAAUCUAAGAACCCCUGGAUGUCCAUCAAAUGAAAGAGUAACCAGAGAUCCUAACCAAACAAGGGUGGCUUUCUCUUUUCUCAAGACGAUUUUUACUAUUUUUCUGGUGAGGGGUGUUUUCAUAUUGGCAUUUAUCUACAAAGAUGGUCUAAAGUUAGGUCCUUCCUAACUUUACCUCUUUUAAACACUAAUUGCUUACCAAAAGUGAACCAAAGCACCCCCUAUGAAAUGCUACUAACUUAUUGCUCCAGUAGCCAAAUGAUUCAACUCCUGUGCCAUAGUCUGGUCACAUCAUAAACAGAGGCAGAGCUGCAUACACCAUGCAACCAAAGCUUUGCUUUCCCUGGCCAGAGUCCCUAUAUCAGUACCUUUUUUCCUUCCAUUCUUUUUUUCCCCCUUCCUUCCUUCCAGCACCUUGGUGGAGGCACUGGUGACUGGGAAGAGGAGAAGAUAUAAGCAGAGGGGAUGAAGGGAAGUGAGAGACAAACAUUAUUUGAAAUCUGCCUCAUCAGUCUGGUCAUUCAGGAGAGAACUCUCUUGGCUUUCUAGAUGGGAUGGGGUGGCCCAUGACAUCACACGGCAAAUCGCUACCUCCUUCUUGAAUGUUUUGCUCCCUUCCUUGAAAGCUGUUCUCCUAGCUGUCCUUGCACAUCUAUCUGUCGUAAUACCUCUGUCAGUCUUGCCCUGGUAGGCUCCUGUUUUUCAGCUUGUCCUUUCCAUGUCCUGCCAGGCUGCCUUCAACCUGGGGUUAGUCUCAUACCAGACGAUCUCCAUUCACUGCCAUGCUUGUGACCAGUCCAUGUGGGGGUGAUUGCCAACCUUCAGUGCCACCCCCGACUCUCUCCUGAGUUUCACACUCACACCCAGCUGCUCUGGUGUGACCAUAGUGCCUUGGGCGAUCCACAGGCAACUCGUGUCCAAAGUGGUCUUCUUCAUCUCCAGCUCUGCACUCAUCUUGCUCCUGUGUUUAACUCCCAACUUAGUGAUUUCACCAUCAAUCUUCAACCUUAUUUCCCAAAUCUGAGUGCCAUCUUUUUCACUGGUUGCCUCCAUUUCUCUCAAUUACUGUGUUUACUCAGAAACCAAGUCUUAAGAUUUCUUGACUCUACCUCCUCCUUUCGAAUUUCCUACCACUGCCCUAAUGCUUCAACCAUUGCAGUGCCUUCACGUGUUUCACUUCUUAAGUCUUCUAGAAAAAUCUAUAGAUCCGUCUGGUAGAACUCUUUUGAUUGCAGUGGCACAAACUGACUUAACCAAAAAGAAUUAUUGGUGUGAGGCUGGUUUCAGGACUGGCUUGAUAUGGAAACUCAAUGGCCAUCACUGAGGCCCAGGGCCUCCUUCUCACCACUCAGGUCUACCCUUCUUCCAAAGCUGGCUUCAUCCUCAGGCUGCAUGCAGUGGCAAAGUGGCAACAGAAACUCCAGCUUGCGUGCUGCCAACUCCAAGUCCUGUAGGAAGGAGCCAGGCCUGAGUCACGUGUUCCCUCUGGGCUGGGGAGAGUAGCUCCUGACCUCAUGGACUGAAAGUGGUGGCGGCAUGGAAUGGAGCCAGUUGGUAGGAGUAGUGUGAACGGACAGUGAACAACCAAAACACAUCAGAAGCCCACCACACAUCUGACCCUGUUAUUCCUGUACAUCGAAUCUUCCAACAACUCCCUAAGUCAGACUUUUAACAAUCAAAACCUUGUCGAGGUGAUUUGACUUCUGUCGAUACACAAUUUUAGUCAUUGUGGAGCUUUUUCACUUUGUUUGCAUUGAUAGUUUCAUCAGUAAUCUUGAAUAAGAGUUGAAUUUUUUUUUUUAAGAUUUUAUUUUUAAGUCAUCUCUCCACCCAACAUGGGGCUCAAACUUACAACCCUGAGAUCAAGUGUCAUAUGCUCUACCAACUAAGCCAACCAGAUGCCCCAAGAUUUGAAUUUUAAAACUGAUCAUUUGGAUUUCUCUCUUGACUUGCAAGGGAACCCUGAGCAAUGCAUGAUACCAUGCCUCUGGGAGCCCUGGGGAGAGGGAGAGCGGACUUCCAGUUAGGAGCCUGUCAGGAAGACAGACCCCACCCCUUACUUUAAUAGAGACAGCUAAAUAUAGUGAAUUGGUUGAACAGGUGUUGGAGGGCUGAAAGACUCUAAAAAGAGACACACAGAGAAUCACUGAAGAAAGCAGCUGGCAUUCCCAAGGAACGAGGGGAAGAAGGCAGCAUCUUAGAACCCGGGUCCUAGAAACCUGGAGAAGGGGCCCUGAGGAGUUGGAGCCAGACCUCAGUGCCAGCUGGCACUGGAGCUUUGGAAGCUCGGAGGUAGACCUCCCCAGGACUAGGCUCACGUCUCUGAAGUGGACCUCCCUGCCAGCAGGUGCUGGCCUCCCUGAGGAAGGGGAUAAGGCAGACCCCAGGAAUGAGGGAAGCAAACUGGAAAACUGGAACCCCCAGCCACUGUUGGGGUCACAGUCGACUGUUGUGGGGUGAUGCUGACAGGAACAGGAACAAACAGAAGGGGACAGGUCCUGCAGCCUCCCUCUGGUGCCCCCUAUUGGCAGAGCUCAAAGGGCGACCCGCAUAAUGGAGGGCUGGGAGUCCUGUGGAGGAGAGCAGAUGGGGUGGAUUGGGAGCUUAAUACCUGGCACAGGGGAGAAGAGGGUAGAGGGAGGAGAUUGGGAGCAGGAUCAUGAGGAGAGGAAGAGACAGAGCUGUGGGAGCGGGUGGGAGAGUUCCCCCACCUCAGUCACCUCUUCUGGGCUGCGGAAGGCACGGAAGAGAAAACACCCUCAAGACAUAGGGCAGCAUCAGAGCCCUUCUCCUUCCACCUCACAGCCCGGACUUAGUGACACACGCCACACAUAUAAACACACCAUGCACACACACCACAUACACAUACAGCACACACACAUACACCACACCACACACACACACACACACACCAUACCUACAUAUACCAUCCACCACAGACACAUGCAUACCAUACUUUUGCUCAUGAGAUUCUUUAGCUCAGGUCCAGUUCUCUAGGAGCAGUUCCAGGACUAGAUGCGGUCUGCACAUGACAUAUUAAAGAAGUGCACCAGAGUAGAUGGGUCAUGGAGGGAGAGAAGCCCGGAGGAAAGAAGGGGAAGCCAAACAAGGGCAUGAUUUCAGGCUACAUCUCCUGAGAGUAGGCUCAGCCUGAUUCUGCUGGGGACUCUGGAGGGUCAGUUGUGCCCAGAGUCAUCCCAAUCUGAUGCCUGGGAGACUGGAUUUCAGACUCUUGCUCCUGGGAGUCAGUCACAAGUGUCCGGGGGCUCCGGAAAUGCCACGUGUGCGCCGCCAUCCUCCUGGCCUGGUAACUGCUAACCAGUGGCCAGUCCUGCAGUUCCAUACCAGGUUAGGAUGGGUGGUCAUUCAGAGUUGCCACGAGUAGAAGAUCUUCCUUCCUUCCUUCCUUCCUUCCUUCCUUCCUUCCUAGUCACCUUCCUUUCCUAACAUUUGUGGGUCCUGAGUCAGAUUGCACAUGGCGGCCCCAGCCUGCAGCCUGCCCUCCUCCUCUCCCCACUCAUGACUCACGGAGAAGGGCUUUGCUUGCAAUGGUGUAGACAUCCCAGCUGUGUCCAUAUAAUUCCACAGCUCCACCAAAUGCCUGCCCUUUGGCCAUCCCUUUUCAAAGCCUGGAUGCUCCCUCCUUUUCUUCUGUGAGCUACGUUGAACAGUUCCAAUAAAUACAUCUUUCUGAGUCAAAUUGCCCAGGGAAAGGUCUGUUGCUCUCAACUGCAAGACUGGCUGACACACGAGUGGGGAAAAGUCAGUGGAGGGGUCCUAGUACCAAACUGGAAAUUUCCCAAAUGGCCCUUAACAUUUGAAUGGGUAAAUAAGUUGGGGUGUGUACACACAGUGGAAUACUGUAUAGCAGUAAGAAGCAACUGUUGUCUACCAUAUGCAAUGAUAUGCAUGAAUUUUGCAAAUAUAAUUAGAAAAAAAUGAUGAAUCCAUACAUGUGAAGUUAAAAAACAGACAAAACUAACCUGUGCACCAUCAUGAUGUUGCCGUGGGAAAUGGAAGGGACACAAGAAGGACUUCCAACUGCUGACUCCAUCAGGCCCUCGAUGGCCUGUGAAAAGGUCCAUUCUCAAAUUCUCAAGGCUCCCAGCUGGCUUAAAAAUGUCAACAAAGAAUCUUUCUACUUAUCAAGUAUUUUAUUUCCCCAUUUAAGCAAGAAGUCUGCAGAGAAGAGGGCCCAAGCUCCCGUUUAAUCUAAGAACCAGGACUCAAGGGUUUCAUGUUGGCAGUUUAGUAACCUGUAUGCAUAGACGCCUCUUUGGAUAAAUCAAAGCUUCCAUGGAAAGUGUCUAAACCCUAUAAAAGUAAUUUAUUUGCUUAUCCACCAAA